UACGAACUGUGCAAACGUUAUUCGGAUUCACUGGGCUUAAAGGGUGCGUAGGCGGCCAUGUAAGUAGGGUGUGAAAUCCCCCGGCUUAACCGGGGAACUGCGCCCUAAACUGUGUGGCUUGAGUGAGAUAGGGGUGUGUGGAACUUCCGGUGGAGCGGUGAAAUGUGUUGAUAUCGGAAGGAACGCCGGGUGGCGAAAGCGACACACUGGGUCUCAACUGACGCUGAGGCACGAAAGCCAGGGGAGCGAACGGG
rnacentral:rRNA from 1 species